AACUCAUUCCUAAGAGACUGUAAUUGUCAAAAUUAAGAAACCCAUUUCCUAUUGACUAAAACCUUAGAAACUAUCUAUUAUAAAAAACAUUAACAAGAAGAAAAAUCCAACUUAAACUAUCCUAUUCUUUAAAAACACCCCGCAGUUCAAAUUUUCUGGCAUCCCACCCCUUAAUUCUACAAGCCAUCGUUCUAUCUUCAAUUGUUCUGUAUCAUUGUUGUCCUUAAUGGAGAUUUCGUAGAAAUAGAAACCGUCAGAGUCCCUUUGUUCUUAUUUCCUCCGACUUAUUUCAAAAGUCGUUCAGAGAUCUUCUAUCCUCUUCGGUCGUCGAUUCCGUUUUUGGGGAGCCUCCUCGAUCCAAAUCCUCGAUUUUGUCCAUUGUUUUCUUUCCUCAGUCAUCGCAUGAGCCGCAUGAUUUACCAAAAAUAGCAGGUAAAGCUUUUGAAUCUUUGUGCUUUUUCUUUUAUUUCUUAUACAAUCGUCGCGAUACUCGAUCUGUCCUCAUCUCCUGUUUGGAUUUUUUAUGACUGCUAAGAAGUCACCUUCUACUGUCAGUUUAUGAAACCCUAGUUCCUUAGCCACCAUCACUGAUUGUAGACAUGCUUUCGCCUCUGUCGUGGUUGCAUCGGCUAUAAAAUUGUUCUGGUAAGUGCAUGCUUCCAAUAUAUAUCCCUCGACGUCUCUAAAUAUGAUUCUCGUAACCGAACUUAGCAUGUUUCUAUUAUAUGCCGCAUCGAAAUUGUAAUUGACUUCAUUUUCUCUCGGUGGUUUCCAAAUACAAUCGUUCUAUCGUAUAUUUGUUGUUGUUUUUGGAACUAUGUGGUUACUCUCUGCCUGGGAUGGUUUGAUAAAUGCGAUUAACCCAACUGUACUUUGUUUUUCACCUUGAUGGUAAACUUUAUUUCUUUGGUGCCAUACUGCCCAUAGAGAUAUUUCUAGGCAUUUGCAUUGUUCUUCUUCCAUACUAACAAAUAGAUUUGCUAACCAUAAUUUCCAGUUUUGGCCUUGGGACUAGGAGAGGCAUCGAUCCCUACCCCUUGCAGGAUAUUUUUGACAAACAUACAGUCCCAGAAUAUAUGGUUCACCGAUUCUUCCGUUGAGUGACAUAGUGGGUAAUCGUUCAUCACCCUCACCUUCUUAGAUUGAAGGUUGUUAAGAGUAGGAAUAUAGUUAUUUAUUACUUUCCACAUUCUAAUUUUGAUCUUGCUUGCAAUUUGUAAGUUCCAUAGUCUGGUGUAGAAUUUCUGUAAAAUCGUCGGUUGUAGCAUUACUUCCUUUUACAUUUGUGUUGUAUCUUCUUUAAACAACCACUUGUAUCCUCUUUUUGUUGAGUACACUCAUGUAUUAUCACCCCUCUAAAAACCCUGAUGUCCUUGAUGUUGACUCCAACAAUUGGGAUGGUAUGAAUUCUGUUUGCUUGCUCCUCGUCAAAAAGCUUUCUUAGGACUUCUGACCUCUAGGUGAUCUGUUCAGAAUUAAUUAAGUUUGCUACUAGUGUGAAGUUGAUAUUAAUAUUCUAACAAGUUAUUUUUCCAUGUCCAGGCCUUGGAAGCUAAGCUUCGUUCCAUAUAUUGAUUGAUUUGCCAUUUCUUACCCUUCAUCCUAUGUCUACCUCAAAAAGUCCUCUCGCGCACCAUAUGCUCCCCCAGGUAAAUGAUAGGUGAAAUCCUAAACUUGUAUUAAAAAAUUCACUAUUUGAGUAAAAUUUUACUUUUAUAACACGAGCAAAUAAGCAGUUUGGAUUCAUAAUUAACUUCCAACCCUGAUAUGUAAGUAAAGCAAUAUUAAAUUUAGCCAAAUCUCUAAAACCUAAUCCUUCUUGCGCUUUCGAUUUGCACUCCUCCCUCCACUCACACCAAUGAAUCCCCUUUCAUGUUUUGGAAUUUAUUUACCAGAAUUUGCUAAUAAUGUUUUCUAACUCACGACAAAGGAUAAUAGGCAAUAAGAAACAUUACAUUGUAUAAACUGGUAUGGCUUGUAAAAUUGACUUAAUAAAGACUUCUUUACCUGUAAGCGAUUAUUGUCGAAUACUCUAGUUUUCAAUGCGUCUCGAGAAUCUGUCUUUAAAAUUUGCAAGCACUUAUUUUUUUCGUCUUCCUAUCAUGGUUGGAAGACCUAAAUAUUUUUCCUAAUUACUCAAAAUUCUUACUUCAAGAGACGCUCCAAUCUGUUCCUUAUAAUCACUCUGUACAUUACUACUAAAGUAAAUCAGUGACUUACCAAAAUUGAUUAGCUAGCUCGAAACCACUUUGUACUUGUUUAAUAUUGACUUAAUAGCCUUUGCCCCCUCCAUUCUUGCUUCCUCCAAUAGAAUGCUAUAGUCCAUCUCUCCCCACUUUUACCCCUUUGAUAAUUCCUUCAUUUUUUUUUCCCAAUUUUAGUAGUGACGAAAAGCCUUCUGCAUAGAAUAAAAAUAUAUAUGGACUUAAGGGAUCCCCUUAUCUUAGUCCCUUGGACAGUUUAGUUUUUCUCUACGAACCCCAUUAAACAAGACUAAAUAUUUCACCGUUCGCACACCUCAUCACUAGAUUCAACCAUUAUUCAAAAAAACUCAUUCGUCUUCUAUGAAGUUCCAUUCAACCCUGUCAUAAGCUUUACUCAUACUUAAUUUCAACACAAAUUGUCCCCAUGUUCCUUUUCUUCUACUUCAAAGAUUGUAGAAUGUCAUAAGCAAUAAGUGUGUUAUCCGUGAUUUGUCUCCCAAGAACAAAAGUCGCUUGUGUUUCGUCAAUGCAUAUAUCUAGUAUUGUUCUAAAUCUAUUAACCAUAGCUUUAGAGAUGAUUUUGUAUACAACAUUGCAAAGACUAAUCAACCUGAACUGUGUCAUACAAUUUUGUGAAUUCACUUUUGGAAUAAGUGCCUAGAAAUCUCAUCUACCACAAUAUGCCAGCAUUCUUAUAAAAUAGUGCAGGGUAACCGUCCAUACCUCAUGCUUUUAAAGGUGUCAUGUUCUUUACUACCGUUGUCACUUUCUCUACUUUAAAUUUUUCUACUAAUGCCAUGUUCAUGUUUUUUUGAAUGCACAUUGUACUAUCUGAUAACACUCUAUCAUCAUUCCUCGAAUUCGACGUCGAAAAUAGUUCAUUGAAAUAUUUUGUUGCCACCGUUAUCUUCUCUUCUUUGUCAACGAUUCAUUCUCAAUUCGACCCUUUUAGUUUUUUCACCUUGUUUCUUUUUUUCCUUUGGUUUGAAAAGUUAUGGAAAAAAGACGUAUUUCGAUCCCCAAAUUUGAGCCAAUUUGCCUUUACUUGCUGCUAUCAAAAUAACUCUUCUUUAUCAGCUUUCAGAUUUAAUGCCAAUUUGACUUUUUCUAUUUCUACAGGCAUUUCAUCGUCCGGGUCAACUAAGUUCAGCUCAGCUACUUUCUUAUUUAGUAAAGUUGACUCCUUUCUUUUGUUGGUCGUAAGUCUACUCAUCUCAUUAAGCGCUUCACCCAACAUUCAUAACUUUAUAGGCACAUCCUCUGAGUUCCCCUCCCAAAAAUCUUAAAUUUGUUGUUUACACUCAUUUUCUAAAGCCCAAUUAGCAUUAAAUCUAAAUCCCCUUUCCCCCCAAGUCUUGUAUAUGUUGCUAUCAAUCCCCAAAUCUACCAAGAUCAAACAAUGAUUUGGUAUAGCACGCAUUAAGUGUUUUAAAUAAUACCUUGGAAAAAUCUCCCACCAUGCCUGAUUCACUACUCCUCUGUCGAUUCUUUCACAAACAUUAUUUUCUGGCAACCUCACUAUUUCCCAUGUAUACCAUUUUUUCGAGAAGCUUAGAUCAUUAAGAUUACAAUCCUCCAAUACUUCCUUGAGUCGAGCCAUGUUUUUGUCACUUCUUAAACGAUCACCACUUUUCUCAAAAGAAAACAUAAUCUUAUUAAAUUCUCCCACAACCAUUCAUGGCAAACCUUGAUAAUUCCCAAAACCCCUUAAAAGGUUCCAAGUCUCCUUUCUUUUGUAUUCCUUUGGUGCACUAUAAAACCCUGUAAGUCUCUAAGACAACAUUCCUUCUUUUUCUGUGACUUCUACAUCGAUAUGGUUUGCUGAGAAACUUUUCAAUUGCACCACAUACUGCCCUUUCCAUCCGAUUGGCAAUCCCUCUUUGGAUCCAUAUGCUCCGACGUCUAUUCAUAAGUAAAACCACAUUUCUCAUGAACUUUUUCCAUUCUUUUUUCAUUCAAUUUUAGAAACAAAAUUUGGGGUUGUACAUGCCUCAUCUUAUUCUGGAGGUGAUUAAUCGUCUGUGGAUACCCCAAUCCAUGAACGUUCUAACUUGAUAUUUUCAUUACAUCCAGUCGACAUGCUUACUAGCGACCGACAAUCUCUCAGUAAGUUGAAUCAAUGCACCCGAAUUAUCAUUCCUAUUUGAAUGUCUAUUCAUUGUUCUUUAUCUUUUCUUUCCUUCACAAAACCUAAUUGAUUUGUUCUCUAGUAUGGUUUCCUUUGGCCCAUUAGCCAUUCUCCUUGUGCAAAUUUGUCUCCUUCUAUUCCUUCUUUGUUUCGAAAGUGUAUCUCCAUACCGAUAGAAUUACUACUCCUUUAGAACCCACUUGGCACAUCUUCCUUUAGCCAUUUGCUUUUAACGAACAUCUCAUUCCUUGACGGUGCUCUUAGUGAUGAGUCCCAUCCAAAUUUAACUUCUUGGAUCAUGAUUGUUUUCCUAACCGGACAGAAAUCUUCCCUAUAACCUAAUUUUUUGCAUAAAAAGCAGAACAAAGUAAACCUCUUAUAUUGAAAGUAGGCAUAUCCCUACUGUCCUUGUCCCAAAGCUAAUUUUUUCUUUCUUUUCAAAGCUAGUCUUACAUCAAUUUUCACCCUAAAUUGCAUGUACCUUCGUUCCUCUCUUGAGAUCAACACAACAUCAUAUUGUAAGAAUUGCCUUAUAAAAUCCCCCAAUUGCUUUGCUAUUCCCUCUGAUAUUUCCCCAAAUGGCAAAUAAUGGACUUGAAUCCAAAAAUAAAUAUAAUUUAAAGGAAUUUGCUUUGGAUAUUCCCUAUUAACGAACCAAUGAAAAAUUAUAAGAUUCCUGUUGAAUGACCACGACAUGCCAUCCAUCACCCUCUUUAUAUCCUCAUUGUAAAAAAUUGAAAUAACUACCAUUUCCCCCCUAAAUUUGAGAUUAUUACUCCCCCUAAUGGAUGCCAUAGAUCAACCAAAGUUCUUUUGAGAGAAGGAAAGUGAACUACACAAUCAAUUAGUGUUUUUCCUACUAAACAGAGUCGAUGUUCAUCAUCUUCUUUACUUGAAUAUUUUUCACAUGGAAUCGGUUCCUCCUCUUCGUCAUUCAAGUUUAGAUUUGUGAUGUCUGUCUCCAUUGACAAUCAAAUCCUUGUUAGAGCUCACACUUUGUCUGAAACAACCAAACCCUAGAUUAUGAUCCUUGAAACUCAACAAACGGAAUAAAAAAAAUACAUGCUAAAAAACCCUAUGAUACGAGUCACAAAAGCCCAAAUUCUUGAAGGCGAGGCCCAAUAAGCAAAUUCUCAGCCCAAUGAAGAAAUUCAUCCAUACUUAGUUGAAAAUCAGGCCAAAUUGUCAAAGUGGCCCAAGUUGUAAAGUUUUAUUUUUAUUUAUUUAUUUAUUUAUUUACUUAGUUUAAAUUUUUAUGUCAAUAUUCAGUCCAAGAGUCCCAGAUAAAAUGACCUUUGACCGAAUUUUCAUAUUAAAAUAAUUAGGAGUUUUUUUUAUUUUAAUUUUCUAAUUAGAUUAGGACUAGUUAUAAGGCCUAUUUAAAGGCAUGGCUGUCCACCUUGUUAAACACUUAUCAUUAUUAUUAAAAUUUCAGAUUUGUUGAGAGCAGAAUUUUCUUUGAGUUCUCUCCAAGAUUUCUCUCUUGAAUUUUCUUUAGAAGUUGUUUUAACAAUCUUUUGAUUGUGGGAGCCAUCUUCAACCUUCUUAUUGCCAUUGAUAUUCUUUGGAGGGGAGAUUAGAGCCGUUUGAAGGGAUUUGUGAAAUCUUUCGGGAUUUCAAGGAUCUUUAGGACUUUCUUUAUUUCUUGCUGUUUCGUUUUAUUUCUUUAUUUCUACUUGUGCUGAAUCAUUAUCUAAUCUAUUUUCUGUUCUUAUUGUGUUUUCAGCCUUUUUAUAUCUUAAGGAAUCAGCCCAAAAAUCUCCAAUUUCUAGGGUUUUUCCAUACUCUUUUUGGGUGAAAUUAGAUUGUCGAAAUUUGAGAAAAACUAUCUUGGUGUUCAAUUGGGCAAUCAUAAUCUCCUUGAGGGUUUCAAGAACCCUAACACUUAUUUCUAUUCUAAAUUUGAUUCUUUGCUGAUUUGGGGAUUUUAUUUCAGAUCUGGAAAUUUAAAGUUCUAAUCUUUUAAUUUUUCUGUUUCGUUUCGGAUCUGAUUGUUUAGGGUUUUCGUAGGAGUUUCCCGUGACUUGGCGACUUGAUCUUGGUCCGCGCGCAACCCCGUAUCAUUUGGUAUCAGAGCUUGGGCGUUUUGGGUGUUCUUGGUUGAUUUCUAAACUGAUAUCUAUUUUUUAAAGCAUAAACGGCAGUUUUACUCAGAAAAAUUGUUCAAAAAAAAUUCAUUUGAGUGGGUAAACGUUGUCCGAUUGAUCUGAAAUUUUACAUACAUGUUUUUGGCACUGUGAUUGAAUAUAAAAAAAUUAUUCCCGCAAAAAAAUCAGUCAAAAAAUCAAAAAAUACGAAAUUCAAUAAAAAUUUAAAAAAAAUUUAGCGGGUUGAAUUUGGUGCCCAAAAUUUCCAGAUCAAAAAUUCAAUAUAUAAGGACACUUCAGAUUUAAUUUCGUGAUUUUUGGAGAUCGGGAAUACCUUGAACGAAGUUGUCAAGUUACUCCGCAGUUUUUCGGGUUUUCUGUUUUCAGCAAUUUUUAUUGAUUCUUAGUUGUAGGUUUUCAUUUGUUUCCCUUUAUUCUUCCUUUACGUUAUCUAACACCUUCUUGUUUCUUGUGUUAGUAGGAUUUAAACGUGGGCACAACUUCUUCCUCGGUGCAACACGAAUCAAUUGGUGUCUCGUCAGUUUUUGGCAUCCUAGUGCAAAUUAGGAUUCUUUGGUAGUUUGGUUCACACUCUCUAAUUGGUUGAUAUAAACUCUGAUAAAGAACUCACAAGAUUGAAUUCGACCUUAUUGGGAAUUUGAUUUUUUCUUUUUGAGUGAUUAACGGUGAGGUUUGAUAAUUUUUAUUUUUGAGUAUUGAGUGUUUUGCAGGUUUUUAAAAAAAUGUCUACAGGUGAUAAUACUAGUGACAUUUAAAAAAUUCCAACAACAGUUGGACGAACAGGCUGCUGCACUUCGAGCGUUGACUGCUACUAUCAAUGAGGUGCGGUUGAAUCAAGAGCCUCAAUAUCGAGAUCAAAUUAAAGACGAUGUGGAUAACCAGCCUCCUGCUCAUAGGCGCGCUCCUCGGCGUGUCCCUAGAACUGAUUAUGAUCUUCAUGAUCGUGAACAACCCUCUUUGGCAAAACCAAAGAGCGAGCAGCAACGAGAACAUCUCUUUUAUACUCGCUGCCAUGUACAAGGUAAGCUUUAUAGAGUUAUUAUUGAUGGUGAAAGUUGCUCGAACGUAGCCAGCACGACGAUGGUGGAAAAGCUUUGCUUAACCACUACCAAGCAUCCACGACCUUAUCAACUACAAGGGCUUAGCAACGAAAGCCAAUUUAAGGUCACUCAACAGGUGCGCAUCGCCUUUUCUAUCGGUAAAUAUCAAGACGAAGUCGUGUGCGACGUAGUACCUAUUCAAGCCUGCCAUUUAUUGCUAGGAGAACCAUGGCAACUGGAUCGAAAAGUCACUCACGAUGGUCGUACCAAUAGGUAUUCUUUCAAGCAUCAAGGAAAGAAACUUACCUUAGUGCCGCUCACUCCGGAACAAGUCCAUGAGGACCAAAUCAAACUGAGAAAUUCUGUUAAAACAAGUGAGGAAAAAGAAAAAAAGAAUGAAAAAGAGCAAAAAGAGAUUGAGAGUGAAAAGGAAUGUGAAACAGAAAAGAAAUUUGAAAAAGAAGUUGAAGAAAGAAGAGAAAAUGAGUUAGAAAAAGAAACAAAAGAAAAAGACGAGGAAAGGCUAGUGAGGAAUGUUUCCACUAACCAAGAUAUGAAUUUUUCUUGUGUUGCUACUUUUCAGGUUCCUGAAAGAUCGAAAGAUAACUUUCAACUUCAAUACCUCUCAAAUGAAAGACGCUUUCAUACGAUCAACUUAGGCAAAGAUGAAAUCACACUACAUGAUCCCGAAGGUAAGCGAGGUAAGGAAAUUUUAGAAACCGAGUCCAGUACAGAUUUGAAAAUUAUUGAUAAAACUUUUGGUGACUUAGUUCUUAAAAGAUCCCCUCAUUUUGAUCCGAUUAAUUGUUACUCUUCGAUUGUGGUUGAUAAAGUCAUUACGAAAAGAAGCGUGAUUUGUUAUUCUCUUGAUUUACCUUGUGUAAAAUCUUCGAAUUUGUCCAAAUCUGUUUUGUAGAAUAAGGUAACGAAAUUUUUCAAAUUUGUUUUCAAUUUAUAUUCGUGCCUUAAACAGUUUAUGUGGUUGUACAUGAAGUUUGAGUUCCAUUUGACAAAGGUUAACUCAACAACGGAGAUUCGACUACACUAUGCCCCCGAUGAGCGAAGAUUUGUUUUAAAUGAAAAAGGUAAAAUCGACCCUUAUUCUUCUGCUUAUCGAGGUAAUAUGCUUGAAACCUUUGAAACACUUUUGUACUCCUCGGAUAGUGAUAAAGAUCGUGUUGAUGAAUACUUAGAUCGAAACGUGCUUGACUGUCCUAUUUUAUUUAUUCUAUCUGUUUUGAUGGUUGAUAAAAAGAUUCUUGUUUUUGAUAAUGCAUGUGUGUGAAUUUAUAGACCGUCGAUUAAUGCAUGGUAUGAUUAUGCAACUUUGUGAACCAUGUGAAUCUUUUCAAAUACCUACUUGUGACGAUUAUGUUUACCAUUUGAUUUAUUACUCGCAAUUUAUUCAUGGUUUGUGGGAACAAUGUGAGACGACUGAAUGCCUUAAAACAUGUCCAUCUUUGUUUCAAAUAUUUGACGAGGCAGUGGUGAGUAAAUUAGAUUGUUUGCAUGGUAAUCUGAAUCUGUCCAUUCACAUGCGUUAUACCUGUUCUGUUAUGCUUAUGAUUGGACUACAAGCUUGUUUCCGUUGCUAUUUACUAUCUCAUGGCUAUUCUUUUCAGUGGACUCAAUUGCCAUUAGUCCCGUUCGAUAGAGGAAAGUCGAGUUCAUUUGAUUUUUCAGAUUCGAGGACGAAUCUUUUUGAGGAAGGGGGGAAUGAUACGAGUCACAAAAGCCCAAAUUCUUGAAGGCGAGGCCCAAUAAGUAAAUUCCCAGCCCAAUCAAGAAAUCCAUCCAUACUUAGUUGAAAAUCAGGCCAAAUUGUCAAAGUGGCCCAAGUUGUAAAGUUUUAUUUUUAUUUUUAUUUAUUUAUUUAUUUAUUUACUUAUUUUAAAUUUUUAUGUCAAUAUUCAGUCCAAGAGUCCCAGAUAAAAUGACCUUUGACCGAAUUUCCAUAUUAAAAUAAUUAGGAGUUUUUUUUAUUUUAAUUUUCUAAUUAGAUUAGGACUAGUUAUAAGGCCUAUUUAAAGGCAUGGCUGUCCACCUUGUUAAACACUUAUCAUUAUUAUUAAAAUUUCAGAUUUGUUGAGAGCAGAAUUUUCUUUGAAUUUUCUUCAAGAUUUCUCUCUUGAAUUUUCUUUAGAAGUUGUUUUAACAAUCUUUUGAUUGUGGGAGCCAUCUUCAACCUUCUUCUUGCCAUUGAUAUUCUUUGGAGGGGAGAUUAGAGCCGUUUGAAGGGAUUUGUGAAAUCUUUCGGGAUUUCAAGGAUCUUUAGGACUUUCUUUAUUUCUUAUUGUUUCGUUUUAUUUCUUUAUUUCUACUUGUGCUGAAUCAUUAUCUAAUCUAUUUUCUGUUCUUAUUGUGUUUUCAGCCUUUUUCUAUCUUAAGGAAUCAGCCCAAAAAUCCCCAAUUUCUAGGGUUUUUCCAUACUCUUUUUGGGUGAAAUUAGAUUGUCGAAAUUUGAGAAAAACUAUCUUGGUGUUCAAUUGGGCAGAAUCAUAAUCUCCUUGAGGGUUUCAAGAACCCUAACACUUAUUUCUAUUCUCAAUUUGAUUCUUUGCUGAUUUGGGGAUUUUAUUUCAGAUCUGGAAAUUCAAAGUUCUAAUCUUUUAAUUUUUCUGUUUCGUUUCGGAUCUGAUUGUUUAGGGUUUUCGUAAGAGUUUCCCGUGACUUGGCAACUCGAUCUUGGUCCGCGCGCAACCCCGUAUCACCCUAGCAAAUGAAAGAACUCCUAUAUUGUAUAUUUUUAAAUAUUAUAUUUUAACACUUUAUUACUUUGUGUAAUUUGAAAGCCCUUAAUUUUAAUAUUAAAGUAAUAAUGGAAAGAGGGAUUUUUUAACUUUAAAGUUAAGGCCAAAGUCAAUUUUCAUAUGGGAAUGUGGAAAUUGAAUAAAAAAAACUUUAUUUUGACCCGAAUGAGACUAAACUUAUUGGAAAAAAGAAAAAAACAUAUAUAAUUUGGUCCGAGUAAGUCUUAUUUUUAGCUUAGAGUUAUUUUUGGUUUUGUGAAACUCAAGAGAGACAUCUGAUUUUAAUUCUUGAUCUUGGGUUAAUUUUGAAAGAUGUUUUGAGCUUAGUUUAAAGCCAAAUUUUUAAUCUAAAUUUGAGCCUAAUUUAAGCCAAUUUUUAGUGUUGUUUUGAGCCUGAUUUCGAUCCAAUUUUAGAGUUUCCUAUAGAAAGCUUAUCUUAGGUCCUUUUUUUUAAAUCCAACUUUUAGAGUCUUCUAGGUCUAAUCUUUAUGGUUUUGUUUUUUAUUGUUCUCCCGUAGGCACUACUUGAGAUAAUUAUAUGUUAUUUUAUAUAGUUUAUUAUUUAUUUUAUAGGUAAUUAUUUAAUAAAUUGUUAUUGGAGUGUUCUAUAUUUCACAAACGGAUUGAAAAUGUGGUAAGUGUUACAUUAUUUAUUUACUUUUUUUAUAUUUUAUUAUAUUAUACAAUACACUUGUCAAACUUUAAACCUGUUUGUAAAGUCAAAAAAAAUCCACUAAUAACAUAUCAAAUAAUUUUUUUUAUUAUAUUAAGAACAUUAAAGAUGAAAAAUGAAAAGUAAAGAUUCUUUCUUUGAGUUAUGCACAGUAGGCUUUUUUUAAAAUAUUAGGAUUAAUUGUAAAUUAUUAUUAUUUAUGAAUAUUUAUCAUUUCAACAAUACAAAAAAAUUUAUUAUAAAUAUUUUAUAUAUGGAUGUCUAUUAGAAUUAAAAAGUUCGAUGAAUUUUAGAAUUUUAAUGUCAUUAAGAGUAAAAUUUUAUAUAAUUUACUUUUUAUGACUAUAAAUAUACACAUUGAAAAAGUACGUUAAAUAUCCUUAUUGAUAAAUAAAAUACAUGUUUAUUGUUUUUUCUUAUUACAAUUCUAUUUUUUCCACUUCAAGAUCUUUGAUAGCCAUAUUUUUUUCACAAUACUCUAAAACAAUUACCAUAUAAGUCUUAAAGGAUUCUCUUUCACCUUCCUUAACCAUUCGCCUUUAUAUCUUUGGGUUUUUGACGUAUCCUAUACCAACAAGUAAUUGGAUGUAAUGGUAAUGCCCAUAACACUCCUAAAAGGAAAACAUAAGUUGCCCAUAGCACUUCCAAAAGGAAAACAUAAGUUUGAACCUUCGAGAGAACAUUGUUGGGAAGAGUAUCCAUAAACUCCGAGCAUAGACUGUAAAAUAGACAUGCAUAAUAUCAAAAAAAGAAAAAGAAAAAGAAAACCAAUCCUCCUACCUUUAACCACUAGUUUAUCACAAAAUUCUUAAAUCAUAUGCACUAAGAAAUUAAUAAAAACCUAUUUAUUUGUAUCUGAAUAGAUUUAUUCAUUCUGGUAUCGAAGAUUAGAUUUAUCUUUGAGGUCUUAGACACAUGAUACUGGGAUUUGCAAGAAUUUCUUUUGAAAAUAUUUUGUGUAGAUUAAUUUAAAUCUCAUAUUAAGGUUCCAUAAUUAUCCUAACUAAUAAACAUUUAGCCCAUAAAUACUAAAUUAAAGACAAUUAAAAUAAAUCUAGCCAUACAAAUAAGAAAAAAACACAAAAUAUAAAGAGAAAAGUGAAGAUACUACAAGCCAAAUAAGGUGAUUCCCUUCAAUUGGUUUGUCUCUUUCUUCCUCUUCUUAUCUUCUUCUUUUCCAGCUUCUAUUUUUCUAAAAAUAGGUGUUCUCAACUUGUACCAGGCUAUUCUAUCACUACUUUGUUUUGAGAAUGAUGUAUUUAUAUCCCCAAAGAUGGUAAGAGCUAGGUCACGUCACAUCAGAUCUUUUCCUCCUUUACCAUUUCUAUUCGCUUUUUUUUUUCUUGUAAGUACUUGGGCCAUUCAAAUUUUGCAGAGCCUAAUUCCUUUGGACUUUCAGUAAUCAUCACUUAUUGACUAAGAAAUUAGUCUAAGAGCUAAUGUGGUGUUCUUUAAAUUUGAGGUUUCCAAUUUACUCCCUUUAGACUAGAUGCCACGACUUUGCUAUAACAUUGUGGCUUUGGAUGUUAAAAUUUGACAUUUUCUUUUCUUCACAUUUCCAAUAUCUACUUUCAAGGACAAAAAAUCACAUUUUUAGUAUCUCACUUGGCAGAAAUAUAUUAUUAAAACAAAAGCUUUAAAAAUUAACUACUUAACAUAAGAUAAUUAAAAUAACUAUAAAAAAUACUAUAAACCACUCUUAUCUUGAUUGAAAUAUAAGCUUUAAAGUAACAACAUAACUUUAUAUCCUAAAGUUAUCACAUCCCCAAACUUAAUUAAUUGCUCAUCCCUAGUGAUGGCACUAUCUAACCUAAGAGACACGACCCAAACAACCAAUGACACAGACUCAAAAACAAAACGAACAAGACUAGCUAAUCAGAAUCAACUCUCCAAAUGGUCAUGCAACUAUGAUAUAAUGCUUUUAAAUCAUUUUUUCAAAUAUCUAACUCAUGUGCACUUAUAAGCCUAAUUCGCCAAGUAUUAAAAUGCUAAUAAAGCCUGAUUUGAAUGCUUUCCUCGUGAGUGUGUGAAUAGUUCUUCCUAAUCAAUCUCUAUUCCUUCAAUUAAGCUAAGAAACAAUCUUAAAGUUCAAUUCAUGUCUUCAUAAGUUGAACUCAAUAACCCCUCUCCACUAAUGUAGUUGGCAUAACGAUCUAGAUCAAUAGAUCUUACAUGGUUGUAAUGUGGCUAGGUUCAAGGUAUGUAUGAAGAUGGAAAUUUAUAGGUUAAAACCUUAAAACCUAGCUUGCCUUGGACCUAAUGAAUAGUAAUGUAGUAACCCUUUACAAAUGGAGAUAUCCCUCAAAGUUACUCAAUUCUUGGAAAUUUUUCCAAUUACAACUAUAUGCUCAACAGUAACAUUACAAGACAAACUGUAUACAAUUUUUUUUCACAAAUUGGAAAUAUUAAAACUAGUCAUAGCUGAGAUAAAUUAGAACAUACAAUUUCAUAUAUUUUAACACUAGGAACAAUCAAUGAGAAAAAGAUACACCUUUCUAAACUCCUCCAAACUUGAGCAAGAUGAUGUCUAAGACAAACUAAAUAUAAGAUUUGGUAAAAAAUAAAGAGGAAUACUUAGAAAGGGCAUAAUUAUUUAAUGUAUGGUUAAGUUAAUAAAAAUAGACCAUUCAACUCAAAUUUGGGUUUCUAGGGAUAAUAAUUAACAAGGUAGGCUUGAAAAAGCUCAAAUGGUCCAACAAAAUUGCCUAAAUCCUUUGUAAAUCGCUGAGCCUCCUAGGAUUUCACCUUUUAGGAUUUCACCUAAAAGGAAUUAUUAAGCCAAUUAUAAAAACUUAAAAUCUUUAUGUCGCUUAGAUCUCUCUAAGAAAUUAAAAUUUAACAAUUGAACUAUGUGCAUUAAACAAGGUUCACACUCGCACCAUAAUUCUAUUAGCAUAAAAAACUUAUCAUUAUUUUGCAAUUUCUUUUUUCAUUGAGCUUUCUCAUUGGAACAAAUCCAAAGUAAAAAGUUAUUCUAUUACAACCUAGACACCAUGUAAACACCAUAAUCUUAAAACAUCAUAGAACCUAAGAAAAUAAGAGAAAUUAAAACAUAAAAUAGCAACUUAAACAUCCUCCCUUAAAAAAAAAACUUAAAGGAAAUCAAUAUCCUCAUUACUACACAAAUAAAAAAAAUAGCAAAACAAAUAUUUACAACAAAUCAAUCCUAAAAAAAUAAUGAAAGAAUUAAAAAAUGAAAAAGAAAAAGAAAGCUCCUCCACUUUUAUUGAUGACUAUCUCUAUCGACGUUGGUGUUGGUAUCGGGCUCUUCUUACUCUUCGCUAGCGGUAGGGCUUUAUGGUUCAAGUAUAUGCUCCAGAAAGUAAGGUAGGAAAUCAAAAAGCCUGUGGAAAACCCUGUCAAAAGCGCAACACAUAGAAUCAUCACAAAAUUUAGCAUAAGCCCAAUAAGCUUGUUGUUAUCGCUACAUAUACUGCAUCAUGUCCAUUAGUGAGGCAUGAGUUGUUGGGGUGGCACUGGUAGAUGCAAGGUUAUGCGCUAUUGGAUUGUUUCUUGGUUUGAUAGAUGACAUUGAUUGUGGUGGUUGAGAUUCUUCUUCUAGAAUUCUUUCAAUAUUGAUUAAAGUGAUACGACCUUUUGUAUAGCACUCUUCGGUGGACAUUCACAUAGGUACACUAGCUUUUUCACAAAGUUUAGUGAUAAGAGAGGGAAAGAAGACAUGUCCUACACGUGUAACAGAAUAAUCUUGGAUCUCCUUGACAAUAAGUUUGUCAAUAUUAAUAGACACUCUAUCAAUAGCAUAGAGAAGGAACAUGCACUCUAUGGAGAUGGUGGAACCAUGAGAGAUCAGCAUAAGACUAAAUAACAAUGUCACACCCUAAAUCUGAAUGACCCUAAUUAAAGAUGUGUAGACGUGAACUUGUCUAUUUUGGUGCACUCUGGUGGUCAGUUCGCUUAAUUUUAAACUUAUGGUGAACUAAUGUUUUAGUGAACUAAGUAUUUGCCCAUAAAAGUGUAUUAUGAUUUAGUUUUUAAUGUGUUCUUCAAAAAAAAGCAUUUCAUAAAAGAAAAGUAAACUCUGUGUUACUACCAAAAGUAUAGUAUGCCUAGUUUGUUCGAACAUUAUUAAGAGCAAGUCUUAGUAACUAGAUAUGGUUAUAAACCAAUUAAACUGAUUGGACAAAUAGUUUUUGGACAAGACUCUCAUUUAUGUUUCUUUCGGAUUCUAUAAACCAUUACGAAGGGCAUAAUCUAAAGUUUUUUUACACUUGUCAAAAUCUAGUAAACAAAAGUAAAUUAUAUACAUGUGAGUAGAGUUUGUGAAAAAGUCUCUUCUUCCUUCAAAAUGACUCUUAAAUUAUUAAAUAUUAAAUAUUAUUACUGGUUUUUGUUCUUAUAUAAACUGGAAGUUAAGGAUUCUUGGGAAUAAACAAAGGAUGUUUUAUCUCUUGGUAAGUCUAACAACUUUGCAUGUUAAGAGUAAGGGUACUAUGAUAUGUAUAUGCUGCAAGUUAUGAUUAAAAGGUCAUGCAUGGGGGUUAUUUGUAGAUGAAAUGUUAGCAAUAUAUUUGUAAAUGGGUUUUAAUGGUGAAUCCAUGUUCUUUUAAGUAGUUGAUGCUAUGGGGUCGUGAAAGGCAGUUCAGAAUUGAGGAUUUUGACCUUCUGCAAUGUGAGUCUCAGGUGAGUCUCUAAUAUCGACUCAUACAAGUUUGUAUAAGUAGAUUGUUUGUGAUUUAUGUUCCUAAAUACAGUGUGAGUACAUGAAUUAGUGUUGCAAAAUAAGUAAGUAUUUCCCGAUGUAAGCCUUUGUGAGUUUGGAAUAUGAUGAACUGUUUCUGGAGAAAUAAUAUCGUAAUAUAUUCAUUGUAAGUUUUUGUUUUUGAUUUACAGUUCUAUUUGUUUCACGGUUUGUUUCAAAACCUAUAUCUGUUUAUCUGUCUUCUUGUUGUCGUUGAGUUCAGGGAGGACGUUAAGCGUUGUGUGAAGACGUUAGGAUAACAGGUCGGUCUUAGGUACCCGAGAUAAACAUUAUGGAGCAAAUUGAGUGUCAGUUUAGAGAUAAAACUUGUGAUCAUAUUACGCAUAUAGACUCUAGAAAUGAAAACAACGUUUCAUCUCUAAGUAAGGGUAUUAAGAGUCUUGUUGAUA
rnacentral:lncRNA from 1 species